GGUAACGGCUCACCAAGGCGACGAUGGGUGGCCGGCCUGAGAGGGUGUACGGCCACACUGGGACUGAGACACGGCCCAGACUCCUACGGGAGGCAGCAGUAGGGAAUAUUGCGCAAUGGGGGCAACCCUGACGCAGCGACGCCGCGUGAGUGAUGAAGGCCUUCGGGUCGUAAAGCUCUGUCAUUGAGGGAAGAAAAAAUGACGGUACCUCAUGAGGAAGCCCCGGCUAACUACGUGCCAGCAGCCGCGGUAAUACGUAGGGGGCAAGCGUUGUCCGGAAUUACUGGGCGUAAAGGGUGCGUAGGCGGCCAAUUAAGUCAGAUGUGAAAGACCACGGCUUAACCGAGGGAUUGCAUUUGAAACUGGUUGGCUUGAGUAUCGGAGAGGGUAGUGGAAUUCCCGGUGUAGCGGUGAUAUGCGUAGAUAUCGGGAAGAACACCAGUGGCGAAGGCGACUACCUGGACGAAAACUGACGCUGAGGCACGAAAGCUAGGGGAGCAAACAGGAUUAGAUACCCUGGUAGUCCUAGCUGUAAACGAUGGACACUAGGUGCCGGGC
rnacentral:rRNA from 1 species